rnacentral:misc_RNA from 1 species
GAUGAAGGACGUAGCGAAAUGCGAUAAGUAAUGUGAAUUGCAGAAUUCAGUGAAUCAUCGAAUCUUUGAACGCACAUUGCGCCCAUUAGCAUUCUAGUGGGCAUGCCUGUUCGAGCGUCAUUUCAACCCUUAAGCCCUGUUGCUUAGCGUUGGGAGCCUACAGUACUGUAGCUCCCCAAAGUUAGUGGCGGAGUCGGUUUCACACUCUAGACGUAGUAAUUUUUUCUCGUCUGUAGUUGAGCCGGUCCCCUGCCGUAAAACACCCAAUUUAUCAAGGUUGACCUCGGAUCAGGUAGGAAUACCCGCUGAACUUAAGCAUAUCAAUAAGCGGAGGA